CCCUCCAUCCACGUCCUCUUUCAAGGAGUCCUCUCGCAGCCCAAAUGCUCUUCCAGGUAAAUGAAGGAUCUCUUCUUCUUCUUCAUCAAGGGAUAGUCCAGCAAAAUCUGACUCCAUAGACGCCUGUUAAAAUAGUGGAA